rnacentral:rRNA from 1 species
UACGUAGGGUGCAAGCGUUGUCCGGAUUUAUUGGGCGUAAAGAGCUCGUAGGUGGUUCGGUAAGUCAGGUGUGAAACCUCCAGGCUCAACCUGGAGACGCCACUUGAUACUGCUGUGACUGGAGUCCGGUAGGGGAGCGUGGAAUUCCUGGUGUAGCGGUGGAAUGCGCAGAUAUCAGGAGGAACACCGGUGGCGAAGGCGGGUCUCUGGGCAGUAACUGACGCUGAGGAGCGAAAGCGUGGGGAGCGAACAGG